AACGAACGCUGGCGGCAUGCCUAACACAUGCAAGUCGAACGAAGCCUUCGGGCUUAGUGGCGCACGGGUGCGUAACGCGUGGGAAUCUGCCCUUGGGUUCGGAAUAACAGUUAGAAAUGACUGCUAGUACUGGAUGAUGUCUUCGGACCAAAGAUUUAUCGCCCCAGGAUGAGCCCGCGUAGGAUUAGGUAGUUGGUGGGGUAAUGGCCCACCAAGCCGACGAUCCUUAGCUGGUCUGAGAGGAUGAUCAGCCACACUGGGACUGAGACACGGCCCAGACUCCUACGGGAGGCAGCAGUGGGGAAUAUUGGACAAUGGGCGAAAGCCUGAUCCAGCAAUGCCGCGUGAGUGAUGAAGGCCUUAGGGUUGUAAAGCUCUUUUACCAGGGAUGAUAAUGACAGUACCUGGAGAAUAAGCUCCGGCUAACUCCGUGCCAGCAGCCGCGGUAA
rnacentral:rRNA from 1 species